rnacentral:rRNA from 1 species
AUGUGCUACCCUAAAAAUGAAGGUGGUAUGGAUUUCAGGGAUCUGUACUCUUUUAACUUGGGAAUGCCCUCAAAGCAAUGUUGGGGCCUAAUUACUAACCCAGAAUCUCUAUGUGCUCGGGUGUUAAAGGCAAAAUAUUAUGCAAGUGUCGACUUACUUCAUGCAACACUUAAAAAUGGUGCAUCAUUCACAUGGCAGAGUGUGCUGAAGGGACUGGAGACUUUCAAGCUGGGGUAUAUCUGGCGCAUUGGUACUGGAGAACAUGUAAACAUUUGGCAAGACCCAUGGGUACCAGCAAGCCCAGAUCGAAAGGUAAUCUCAAGUCGGGGUCAAUCUAUCCUAACUUCAGUUAGCGAGUUGUUGGAUCCCUAUGCAAGAACAUGGAUGAGGAGCUGA